AAUUUUAAAUACUUGUUUGAAUUAAAGCAUGUACAGAAAAUACAUAAAAUAUAAUUGUGAAGCUCAGUGAGUCAUCAUGAAGGGAACCAAGGUAACCGUCACUAAGACCAUGAACUAGAAUUUUGCCCAUGUCCUGAAGCCUCCUUAGGUGGUAUUUUACAUUUUUUGAUGAUAUUGUAAAUAGUGUUGUUUGUUAAAUUUCACUAAUUAUAUUUAGCAUAUAAAAAUACAAUGAGAUCUGGGGGUGGGGAGGGCAAAGUGUGAAAAUGCUGCUUUGGAGACCUGAAUCCCAUAUCAUAAUACCUGGGUUCAAGUCCCUGCUCCAUUCUUGAUAACCAAUUCUAGUUUUCUGCUAGUGCACACCCUGGAAAGCAGCAGGUAAUGGCACAAUUACUUCAGUCUCUGCCACUCAUAUGGGAGACCUGAUUGAGUUCUCAUUCCUGGCUCAGCUCUUAAAGUUAUGUGGAGAGUGAACCAGAGAAAGAUCUUUCUUUGUCUUUGUCUCUGUACCUUUCUAAUGAAAUGGGAAUAAAUAAACAAAUACAUUUUUAAAAGAAAUACAAUUGAAUAUUGUAUGGUAACCUUGUAUUUAGCAGCCUUUCUUAAUUUAUUUUUUAAUUCUAGUAGUUUUGCUGUAUAUCAUAUAUUUGUUGCCUUGAAGAUUUAUUUACUUAUUUAUUUGUAAGGCAGAGUUACAGAGAGAGAUCUUCCAUCUGCUGGUUCACUCUCUAAAUAGCUGCACAGCCAGGCAGUGCAAGACCAAACUCAGGAGACUGGAGUUCCAUCCAGAUAUCCCAUCAGUGGCAAGGGCCCAAGCAUUUGGGCCAUCUUUUGCUGGUUUCUCAGGCACGUUAGCCGGGAGCUGGAUUGGCAGUGGAGCAGCUGACACUUGAACUGGCACUCUUAGGGGAUGCUAGCUAGCAUCACAAAGUGGCUGCUUAGCCCACUGUGCCACAAUGCCAACUCCUAAAAUAGGAUGGUUUAAAUAUAUUUUCUAGAAAAUUAUUUAUCUUCCCUCAAGCAUAAGGUUUCUGUUUCUUUUUUAUAUAGUCCAUACAUUCUUGAGUCUUUGCAAUUAUUUGUUGUUGAAAACGGGAUAUUUUGAAUAAUAUAAAUUAGCAACUCUAGAAAUCAGAUUCUGUUCUUCGGGAUUUGUUGUGAUAUUGGGCUUAUUGUACCUACUUGUUUUUUAGUGCCUUUUCUGACCUAAUUCUAUAAAGUCUGUGUUUUUUUGUCUUGUGUGGCCACUGAUGUCGCCAUUAUAUUAACUUAGUGAUCAACUAAUGAUUUUUACAGAUUUUCUUAAAUGCUUGGAACCAAUCUUCCAAUCUUUGCCAUGGGCUUUUUGUGUGUAUUUCUUUGUAACUCUGCCUGAACCUUCACUUCCUUCUUCCAGGAGCCUUAAAAUAGCUGCAGCAGUUGAGUUCUUUUCUUUCUUGACCGUGUGCACGUGUGCCUGAAGCCCUGAGUAUGCACUUGGCCUUCUAGAUUCCCAGGAAUGGCAGAACAUUUAUUCCUCAGGUGUCCUCAGAAACCUUUUCAUUAGUCUGUUUGCCCCAGCUGUUUUCUGUCUCCUCAGGCAGUUGUGAAUAAGAAAUUAUCCUGUAAGUGUUUGCAACAAAUAGCCCAAGGGAAGCAGCUUUAGCAUAAGGCCUGUCCUUUGUCUGAAUCCAUGUUCCAGGUAGCCUCCAAACAGAUCAGAUCAAGUAUUCACCAUUCUUUGCACAUUAGUUCAUUCUGUUCCCUCCAGUACCAUGAAUAAAUAUUGUUAUUUUCACAGAUGGUACUGAAAUAGGGAACAGAGGCCAAGACUGGGCUAAGUAGAGAUGCCACAAAGAUUGCUAUUCUUAUCAAUAAUCAGCUGUUUUUCCUGAAUUGUAUCUUACCCCUGGAACUGAAACCUUUGCUUUCCAGGGUUCAGUAAAGGUUCAUUAUUCUAAUAGUUAUUUUACCUUUUUUUUUUUAAUUUGAGACACAGAGAGCUCCCAUCCUCUGGUUCGCUCCCCAAAUACUCAGAAUGGCUAGGACUGGGCCAAACCAAAGCUGAAAUCCAAUAAUCCCAUCCAGUUCUCCAACUACUUGAGCCAUCACUGCUGCCUCCCAUGGUCCACAUUAACAGGAAACUGGAAUCAGGAGGCAGAGUCAGGAAUUAAGCCCUUGUACUCCAAUGUGAGACAUGUGAGGGUCCUAACCACUAGGCCAGACACCAACCCUCUUACCUGUUUUGUUUUGUUCUUUGCUUUUAUGGAAGAGUGGAAUUGUUAGUUCCUUAUGCUACUGGUUUCAAAGGCAUUUUAUAUUUUUCAAAAAUCAAGUUAAGGAAGUUCUCUUUCUAGCUUUGCUAAGAAUUUAUUACAAAUGAAUUGUCAAGUGUUAUGCCUUUCUCCAUCUGUUAAGAUUUUAUAUCAUUUUUCAUCUCUAUUUUGUUAAUGAAAUGGAUUAUAUUGAUUGGCUUUCCAAAAUCAGUGUUGCUUUCCUUUGAUGAACCUUGUUGGAUCCCAUGAAAUAUUAUCCUUUAGUACAUUUUUUUAUUUGCUUUGGUUUGCAAAUAUUUUGUUUAUGAUUUUUCUUGUGUAUUUAUGAGCAAGAUUGGCCUUUGAUUUUGUUUUCUUAUAAUAUCUUUGUCAGUAUAAAGGUGAAGGAUGUUUUCCCUCACCCUCUGAAGGUUUGGGCAUGCUAAAGUAAACUAGCACUAGAUUAACAGGGGAAGAUUCACAAGCUUAUUACUUGCAUGGGGUAAUCACCAGAGAAUGAUUACCCGUAACCUGUUGAGGUUCAGAGGCUUUAUACUCUUUUCAGGGGAGAGAGGCAGACGGGGAGGGAAAAUUGGUGACUUUGAGAGGUAGUAAAUGAUUUUUAGGGUAUUUAAAUGAGUCCAAAGAACAGACAAUAGCUUAUUACAAGUUUGUCUAGAUCUGGUAACAUCAGUGACUUUCCUUCAUGAAAUAUGUAUUUUAUCUUCCCUGUUUAAUGAAAUUUUCAGAAAGGGAAUGAAAAUAAUUGUGUUCCUUCCAGAAGAGCUUCAGAUGAGGGAACUUCAGGGGUGAGUUCUUUCCUAUGCUUUGGGAGAGAAGCAGGAGAUCAGAAAGUCUUUGGUUCUGGGAAUGCUUCUGAGACUUUUUGAGUUCUAUUCAAUUGUUUAGCAUGUCAGACUGCCAUAUUUUAGCAUGUUAUUUCUAAGCUGCAGUCUCAGGAACUUUUGAUGUUAAUCAUGUACUAAGCCUAUAAACUAUGAAUUCUUUCUUCUUUCUUGAAGUUUUUUUUUUCUUGAGGUAGCAUUUGGCACAGCAGUUGAGUACCUCUUGGAACACCUGCAUCCAGUUUCAGAGUCCCUGGGUUUUAGUCCUGGCUCUGCUUCUAAUCCAGCUUCCUGCUGGUAUGUACCCUGGGAGACAGUGGUGAUGGCUCAAGUAUCUGGGUCCCUGCCAAACAUGUGGGAGACCCAGAUUGAGUUCUGGGCUCCUGGCUUCAACUCUAGCCCAACCAAGACUGUUGCAGGCAUUUAGGGCGAAAACGAGCAGACUGAAUCAGUGUCCGUCCCUCCCUCCCAUCCUCCCAUUCUCCUUUCCCCCCCCCCCCCUUUCAAAUAAAUAAAUAAAUAAAUAGUUUUUACAGUUUUUAUUUUAUUUUUAUUUGACAGGUAGAGAUACAAACAGUGAGAGAGAGACAGACAGAGAGAGAAAGGUCUUCCUUCUGCUGGUUUACUCCCCAAAUGGCCGCCACAGCCAGCGUUGCGCCAAUCCGAAGCCAGGGCCAGGUGCUUCUUCCAGGUCUCCCAUGUGGGUGCAGGAGCCCAAGCACUUGGGCCAUCCUCCACUGCCCUCCCGGGCCACAGCAGAGAGCUGGACUGGAAGAGGAGCAACCGGGACUAGAACCUGGCGCCCAUAUGGGAUGCCGGCGCCACAGGUGGAGCCAAGUGAGCCACGGCGCCGGCCCAAUACAGUUUUUAUUUUUAAAUAAUUGUAGAUUAAUAGGAAGUUGCAAAGACAGUAUAGAGAGUUCCUACCUUCCAUUCAGUUUUCCCUAACACUUUAUGUAACUACAGGAUAAUGUCAGAACCAGGAAAUUGAUAUCAAUCCAAUGGCUGUGUAUUGUUGUACGUCAUUUUAUCAUUUUACCUGUAAAUUUGUUUGCCACAAAUGCAUUCAAGAUACAAAAAUCUCUCUUUACCACAAAGUUGUCACUCCUCUUUGUCUUUUGUAAUCACACUCAUCUCCUUCUCACCAUCCUUUAUUUUUAUGAUUUCAAUAUUUAUUUAUUUGGAAGAGUGUGAGACACACACAGAAAGAGAGAAGAGAGAGAGAAAUCUUCCAUCUUUCCGUCUUCUGAUUUACUCCCCCAAGUGAAUGCAACAGCCAUAUCCAGGAGCCAGGAAAUCCAUCAAGGUCUCCGACAUGGGCGGCAGGGACGCAUGUACCUUAGCUGUCUGCUAUUGCUUCUCAGGUGCAUCAGCAGGGAACUGGUUCAAGUGAGGUAGCCAGGACUCAAUCCAGGCACUCCAGUAUGGGAUACAUCGAAAGUGGAAAUUUAGAUGCUGUGCCACAAUGUCCACCCCUGAUUCUUAACCUGUGACAACCACUAAUUUUUUCUGUGUCUCUACAAUGUUUUGUCAUUUGGAGAAUAAAAGCGGAAUUAUUCAGUAUGUGAUCCCUUGAGGUUGUCUUCCUUUACUCAUCAUGUUGCCCUGAGAUCCAUUCAAAUAUUUGAGUGUAUCAGUAACUUGUUUUACUUUAUUGUUGAGUAAUAUUCCAUGGUAUGCCUGUACUAUAGUUGAUUUAAUUAUUAUUCUAUUUAAGAAGAUUUUGAUGGCUUCCAGAUUUUACCUGCAAAGAACAAAAUUACACCAGUCUAGUUUAAGGAUUUUGAUUGGCUUUGUAUUUAAUCUAAAAUCAGGUAACAUUUUAUUCCAUAAAAUAGAAUACAUGUUUUCAAUGGGUUGAGCAGAAGGGAUUGGUUCUAUAAGCAUAAAAGGUCUGAAUAAAGCAAAAAACAAAAACAAAAUGUGAAUUGGUAAUUUUAUUUUUACUUAUUUUCAUUUAUUUGAAAGACAGUUCACAUAGGUGGCAGGCAUCUAAGUCCUUCAGCCAGCAUCUGCUGCCUCCUAGAGUGUGCAUUAGCAGGACACUGGAUUGGAAGCAGAGUCAAGACUUAAUUGUGGGAUGCAGGCAUCCCAACCAGUGUCUUAGCUAUUAGACCAAACACCUGCCCCUGUUCAUUUUAAAGUUACUUUCUGAGAAGGUAGGGAUAGGAAGACAGAACGUUAAAACAUGGUGCACUUCAUUGUUACACCAAUUGAAACUAGCUUGUUUGGGAAAUUUAUUCUCUCUCUCAUCCUGAUUUUUUUGGAAGAUUAGGUAAACAAUUUAGUUUCAAUUGUGAAUGACUCUAUUUUGACUUUUAGUUUGGUUUGUUGGAGCCCAAUGCAAAACUUUGUCCAAAAUAAUGGUCUCCUGUAACUUUUAUUUAGCAUGCCUGGUAUAAUCAAACUGCUAUAAACAGUUUUUUGUUUGAACAUAAGAUUUCAAGUCUCUUACAUGUAUAUUUAGAAGUGGAAUUGAUGGAUGAUAUGGUAGUUGUAUGUUUAACAUUUGGAGGAACUGGCCAACUUUUUUUUCAAAGUAUCUGCACCAUUUUACAUUUCUACCAACAGUAUAUGAAAUGUUCAGUUUCUUUGCAUUCUUAGCAGCAUUUGGCAUUGUCACUCUCUUUUAUUCUACCUAUUCUAAUAGGUAUGUGGCGAUAUUCUCCUCGUGUUUUAAUUUCUAUUUCUCUAAUGACUGGUUAUGGUGAAUAUCUUUUCAUGGGCUUAAAUAUCUUCCUUGUUGAAAUAUUUCAUAAUUUGUUUUUCUUUUUUUUUCUAAUUGAGUUGUUUAUUAUUUUUGCUAUUGAAUGUUGAGAAUUCUUUAUAUAUUCUAGAUAUGGGUCCUUUAUCAGAUUUUUGGCUUUUGUGCACAAAUAUAUUUUCCCAGUUAGAAACUCUGCUUAACAGGGUCUUUGGCAUAGUUGCGAUAAAGUCCAGUUUCAUACAUUUUUUCCUGUAUGGAUUGUGGUUUUAGAGCAUACCAAAGAACUUUCGACCAUGCCACAGGUACCAAAGAGUUUCUCCUCUGUUUUCUUUUAAAUGUUUUGUAAUUCUUUAUUUUAUAUUAUGUAUACAACCCAAUUUGAGUUAUGUUUGUAGAAGAUGUGAGUUUUAUGCCAAUAUUGGAUGGGGGGGAACAGUUGCCUAUAAAUAAUUCAAUUAUUUUAGCAUCAUUUAUUUAAAACUGUCUUGUUUGUUCUUUAAUUUUAUUCUGUAGGAAAGUUACAGAAGAUUGGAGUUAUUUUUUCCAUAAAUAUUUAGGAGCAGUCACUGCUAAAGCCAUCUGGGCUUUCUUGGAGGGAUGAUUUUUAAUUGAGAUCUCUUUUCUUUUAUUAUAUGAUCAUUCAGAUUUUAUAUUUCUUUCUGUGUUCAUUUGGAUAAGUUGUGUUUUUACCAGGAAUCUGAACUUGCUUAAUUGUGAAACUGGCAUAAAGUCAUUAAUCAUAUUAUCUUAUUUUAAUUUAAUUUUUAUAGCUGUUGCUAUCCAAUAGAACUUUGUGCAGUUGUGCAAAUAUUCUGUAUCUCUGCAGUCUUACAUGGUAUGUGGCUAUUGAGCACUUGAAAUUUGGCUAAUGUGACUGAGAGAUGGACUUGUGAUAUUAUUGCCUUGUAAAUAAUUCAGAUUUUUCUUUAAAUAGCUUCAUGUGACUAGUGGUAACAUAUUAUGCAGCUCACAUCUAUAGAGGCUAUAAUGAUGUCCUUUUCAUUACUGAUAUUGAAUAUUUGUAUUUUCUCAUAUUCUUUGUAUCUUUUUUCUCCUUUUAAUUGUUACUAGUCUUUUAAAAUACAAUCUUUUGCUUUUUUAUCUGUAUUUUGCUUUUUAUGAUUCCUGUUUUUAUUUCCUCAUUGUACUUUCUUUGAGUUGAAUCUAUAAUUCUUAAGAAUCUAACCUCUAAGCCGGCGCCGCGGCUCACUAGGCUAAUCCUCCACCUUGCGGCGCCGGCACACCGGGUUCUAGUCCCGGUCGGGGCGCCGGAUUCUGUCCCAGUUGCCCCUCUUCCAGGCCAGCUCUCUGCUGUGGCCAGGGAGUGCAGUGGAGGAUGGCCUAAGUCCUUGGGCCCUGCAGCCAGCCGCAUGGGAGACCAAGAGAAGCACCUGGCUCCUGGCUUUGGAUCAGUGCGCUGUGCCGACCGCAGCGACCACUGGAGGGUGAACCAACGGUAAAGGAAGACCUUUCUCUCUGUCUCUCUCUCUCACUGUCCACUCUGCCUGUCAAAAAAAGAAGAAACAACUUUAGCUAUAAAAUCAUAGUUUUGAUAUUUUAUGUUCUCAUUUACUGUUCAAUUAAAAUACUUCUAAUGCUUGUUGUGAUUGCUUCAUUGAUCCAUACACUUUAUGAAUGUAUUUCUUACAUAAACAUGAGAAUGUUGUAAUUAUCAUUUUAAAAAUUAAUUUCUAGUUUAAUUAUUUUGUGGUCAGAACAAGCUAUCCUUUGAAAUAUAUAUGGACUUCCCUAUGCCAACUAUUCUAAAUACCUUGCUAGUAUUGAAAUAAUUGUGUAGCUCUAGGUUCAGUAUUCUAUAUAUGUCAGAAUAUUUAUAUCUUUUUGAUGAAUCAAACCUUUUACCAAACUAAAUCUUUUCAUGUAUCUUUAGGAAUGUUCAUUUAGGAAUGUUUAAUUUUUCUCUAAAUAUAUAUAUUCUACCUUUCUUUUGAUUUAUGUUUGCAUGAUAUAUAUUUUUCCAUAUCCCAAUAUAUUAUAUUUAUAAUAUUGUUUUCUUAUAUAUUAGAUGUACUUCCUAUUAAUGUGCAUUUAAAAAUAUAACCUAACAGUAUUUGAAAUUUAUUUGAGUGUUUUUUCCAUUGUUAAUAAAUAAGUAAUUGUUGGUGUUUUGUAGUUUAAAUCUGCCGUCUCAGUAUUUUGUUGUUGGUUUUGGCCCUCCUUAUCUAUGUAUUUUACUCCUUCAUAUCUUAACUACUUGAGGAUUCAUUAAGUGUAAAUUUGAAAUGUACCCAUGCUUAGUUUAUCCUUUCUAGUGCUAAGUAAUAUUCUGUUGUAUGCAUACACAAUAGUUUUUUUUAUCUACUCAUCAGUUGAUGAAUACUUUUUUUAGUUUGGAGCUGUCAUAAGUAAAUCUGCUGUACACAUUCAUGUGCAAGUCUGUGUGGAUAUAUUCUUUCAUUUCUCUUGGGUAAAUGCCCAGUAGUAGAAUGAGUGGAACAUGAGAUAGGAAAGAAGCAGCAAUUGGCCAGCACCGUGGCUCACUAGGCUAAUCUUCCGCCUGCGGCGCCCGCAUCUGGGUUUCUAGUCCCAGUCGGGUCGCUGGAUUCUGUCCCGGUUGCUCCUCUUCCUGUCCAGCUCUCUGCUGUGGCCUGGGAGUGCAGUGGAGGAUGGCCCAAGUGCUUGGGCCCUGCACCCGCAUGGGAGACCAGGAGAAGCACCUGGCUCCUGCCUUCUGAUCAGCGUAGUGCGCCGGCCGCAGCGGCCAUUGGAGGGUGAACCAACGGCAAAGGAAGUCCUUUCUCUCUGUCUCUCUCUCUCACUGUCCACUCUGCCUGUCAAAAAAAAAGCAAUCUGUUUUCCAGGGUAGUUGGUCUUUAUGUUCCCACAGAGACAUAGACUGUCUUUAAAUUUCAGCCAUUCUGGUGGAUGUGUAGGAUUUCACUAUGAGUCUGACUUUCAGUUACCUCAUGAGUGAAUAAUAAUGCUGAGUAUUUUGUCCUGUGCUCAUUUGUUAUUUGAAUAUCUUCUUUUAUAAAGCAUCUGUUCAGAUCUAUUGCCCAGUUUGUAUCUAAGUUUUAAAGUUCUUUUUAUAUAUAAAAUACAAUUCUUCUUAUCACCUGUAUGUUUUGCAAUUCUAAUUUUAACUGGAAAUAUCUACUUGAAAGAAAUAUCUUUGAAGAACAAAUGUUUUUCUUUUUUUUUUUUUAUUUAUUUAAUGAAUAUAAGUUUCCAAAGUACGAAUAAUGGAUUACAAUGGCUUCCCCCCCAUACCGUCCCUCCCACCCACAACCCUCCCCUUUCCCACUCCCUCUCCCCUUCCAUUCACAUCAAGAUUCAUUUUCGAUUAUCUUAAUAUACAGAAGAUCAGCUUAGUAUACAUUAAGUAAAGAUUUCAACAGUUUGCACCCCCAUAGAAACACAAAGUGAAACUGUUUGAGUACUCGUUAUAGCAUUAAAUUUCAAUGCACAGCACAUUAAGGACAGAGAUCCUACAUGAGGAGUAAGUGCACAGUGACUCCUGUUGUUGACUUUACCAAUUGACACUCCUGUCUAUGGCAUCAGUAAUCUCCCUAUGCUCCAGUCAUGAGUUUCCAAGGCUAUGGAAGCCCUCUGAGUUCUCCGAUUCUUAUCUUGUUUAGACAAGGUCAUAGUCAAAGUGGAGGUUCUCUCCUCCCUUCAGAGAAAGGUACCUCCUUCUUUGAAGACCUGUUCUUUCCACUGAGAUCUCACUCACAGAGAUCUUUUGCCAGAGUGUCUUGGCUUUCCAUGCCUGAAAUACUCUCAUGGGCUUUUCAGCCAGAUCCGAAUGCCUUUAGGGCUUAUUCUGAGGCCAGAGUGCUAUUUAGGACAUCUGCCAUUCUAUGAGUCUGCUGAGUAUCUCGCUUCCCAUGUUGGAUCACUCUCCCCUUUAUUUAUUCUAUCGGUUAGUGUUAGCAGGUACUAGACUUGCUUAUGUGCUCCCUUUGACUCUUAGUCCUUUCAUUAUGAUCAAUUGUGAACUGAAAUUGAUCACUUGGACUAGUGAGAUGGCAUUGGUACAUGCCACCUUGAUGGGAUUGAAUUGGAGUACCCUGGUAUGUUUCUAACUCUACCAUUUGGGGCAAGUCAGCUUGAGCAUGUCCCAAAUUAUACAUCUCUUCCCUCUCUUAUUCCCACUCUUAUAUUUAACAGGGAUCACAUUUCAGUUAAUUUUCAACACUUAAGAAUAACUGUGUGAUAAUUACAGAAUUAAACCAGUCAUAUUAAGUAGAACAGACAAAAAAAAAUACUAAGAGGGAUAAUGUAUUAAGUUGUUCAUUAACAGUCAGGGCUAUGCUGAUCAAGUCACCAUUUCUCAUAGUGUCCAUUUCACUUCAGGAGGUUUCCUUUUUGGUGUUCAGUCAGUUGUCACCGAUCAGGGAGAACAUAUGGUAUUUGUCCCUUUGGGACUGGCUUACUUCACUCACCAUGAUGUGUUCCGGAUUCCUCCAUUUUGUUGCAGAUGACUGGAUUUCGUUGUUUCUUACUGCGGUAUAGUAUUCUAAAGAAUACAUAUCCCAUAAUUUCUUUAUCCAGUCUACCGUUGAUGGGCAUUUAGGUUGGUUCCAGGUCUUGGCUAUUGUGAAUUGUGCUGCGAUAAACAUUAGGGUGCAGACCGUUUUUUUGUUUGCCAAUUUAAACUCCUUUGGGUAAAUUCCAAGGAGUGGGAUGGCUGGGUCGAACGGUAGGGUUAUCUUCAGGUUUCUGAGGAAUCUCCAGACUGACUUCCAUAGUGGCUUGACCAGUUUGCAUUCCCACCAACAGUGGGUUAGUGUCCCUUUUUCCCCACAUCCUCGCCAGCAUCUGUUGUUGGUAGAUUUCUGUAUGUGAGCCAUUCUAACCGGGGUGAGGUGAAACCUCAUUGUGGUUUUGAUCUGCAUUUCUCUGAUUGCUAGUGACCUUGAACAUUUUUUCAUGUGCCUAUUGGCCAUUUGGAUUUCCUCUUUUGAAAAAUGUCUAUUGAGGUCCUUGGCCCAUCUCUUAAGUGGGUUGUUUUUUUUGAUGUUGUGGAGUUUCUUGAUCUCUUUGUAGAUUCUGGUUAUUAAUCCUUUAUCUGUUGCAUAGUUUGCAAAUAUUUUUUCCCAUUCUGUCGGUUGUCUCUUCACUCUCCUGACUGUUUCUUUUGCAGUAGAGAAACUUCUCAAUUUGAUGCAAUCCCAAUAGUUGAUUUUGGCUUUGACUGCCUGCGCCUCCCGGGUCUUUUCCAGAAAUUCUUUGCCUGUGCCAAUAUCUUGAAGGGUUUCUCCAAUGUUCUCUAAUAACUUGAUGGUGUCAGGACGUAGAUUUAGGUCUUUAAUCCACGUUGAGUGGAUUUUUGUGUAAGGUGUAAGGUAGGGGUCUUGCUUCAUGAUUCUGCACGUGGAAAUCCUGUUUUCCCAGCACCAUUUAUUGAAUAGACUGUCCUUGCUCCAGGAAUUGGUUUUAGAUCCUUGAUCAAAUAUAAGUUGGCUGUAGAUGUUUGGGUUGAUUUCUGGUGUUUCAAUUCUGUUCCAUUGGUCUGUCCAUCUGUUUCUGUACCAGUACCAUGAUGUUUUGAUUACAACUGCCCUGUAGUAUGUCCUGAAAUCUGGUAUUGUGAUGCCUCCGGCUUUGUUUUUGUUGUACGAGAUUGCUUUAGCUAUUCGAGGUCUCUUGUGCCUCCAUAUGAAUUUCAGCAUCAUUUUUUCUAGAUCUGAGAAGAAUGUCUUUGGUAUCUUGAUUGGGAUUGCAUUGAAUCUAUAAAUUGCUUUUGGGAGAAUGGACAUUUUGAUGAUGUUGAUUCUUCCAAUCCAUGAGCAUGGAAGAUUUUUCCAUUUUUUGGUAUCCUCUUCUAUUUCUUUCUUUAAGAUUUUGUAAUUCUCAUCGUAGAGAUCUUUAACAUCCUUGGUUAAGUUUAUUCCAAGGUAUUUGAUUGUUUUUGUAGGUAUUGUGAAUGGGAUUGAUCUUAGCAGUUCUUUCUCAGUCAUGGCGUUGCUUGUGUAUACAAAGGCUGUUGAUUUUUGUGCAUUGAUUUUAUAUCCUGCCACUUUGCCAAACUCCUCUAUGAGUUCCAAUAGUCUCUUAGUAGAGUUCUUUGGAUCCUCUAAGUAAAGAAUCAUAUCGUCUGCAAAAAGGGAUAGUUUGACUUCUUCCUUCUUGAUUUGUAUUCCUUUGAUUUCUUUUUCUUGUCUGAUGGCUCUGGCUAAUACUUCCAGAACUAUGUUAAAUAGCAGUGGUGAGAGUGGGCAUCCCUGCCUGGUGCCAGAUCUCAGUGGAAAUGCUUCCAACUUUUCCCCAUUCAAUAGGAUGCUGGCCGUGGGUUUUUCAUAAAUUGCUUUGAUUAUAUUGAGGAAUGUUCCUUCUAUACCCAAUUUGCUUAGAGUUUUCAUCAUGAAAGGGUGUUGAAUUUUAUCGAAUGCUUUCUCUGCAUCAAUUGAGAUAAUCAUAUGGUUUUUCUUCUGCAGUCUGUUAAUGUGGUGAAUCACAUUGAUUGAUUUGCGAAUGUUGAACCAUCCCUGCAUACCAGGGAUGAAUCCCACUUGGUCUGGGUGGAUGAUUUUCCUGAUGUGUUGUUGUACUCUAUUGGCCAGAAUUUUAUUGAGGAUUUUUGCGUCUGUGUUCAUCAGGGAUAUUGGUCUGUAAUUUUCUUUCAAUGCUGCAUCUUUUUCCAACUUAGGAAUUAAGGUGAUGCUGGCUUCAUAGAAAGAAUUUGGGAGGAUUCCCUCUUUUUCGAUUGUUCUGAA